rnacentral:lncRNA from 1 species
AGGGAGGAAGAAGCUGGAGGAGAAGUAGGGAAGACGAUGGUGAGCAGGUCCGAGCUUCAAUGUGGAAAGGACGACGACAUCGAGCUCUCGUGAUGCAGACAGAGGAUGUGUGGAUGUGGACGACAGUCGUGUGGAUGUGGUCAUUGUGGACAUGAGACUUGGAAUCAAGUGCGAAGUGGUCAGAUAAGAGGUAGUCAGAUGAGAUAUGGAUAACAGUGAAGAUUCCACAUGUGUCUUCCAUGCUCUGGUUAUUUACGAGAUUCAUAUGUCUUGGGGGAGGAAGAAGCUAGACGAGAGGUAGGGACAACGAUGGUGAGCAGGUCCUAGCUCCAAUGUGGAGAGGACGACGACAUCGAGCUCUCGUGAUGCAGACAAAGGAUGUGUGGAUGUGAUCGGUGUGGACGGCAGUUGUAUGGAUGUGGUCAUUGUGGACAUGAGACUUGAAAUCUAGUGCGAAGUGGUCAGAUAAGAAGAGGUCAGAUGAUAUAUGGAUAACAGUGAAGAUUCCACAUGUGUCUUCUAUGCUUUGGUUAUUUCUGAGAUUCAUAUGUUUUGGGAUAGGGAUGAAGAAGCUUGACGAGAGGUAGGGACAACGAUGGUGAGCAGGUCCGAGCUUUGGUGUGGAGAGGACGACGCCACAUCGAGCUCUCGUGAUGUGGACAAAGGAUGUGUGGGUGUGAUUGGUGUGGACGACAGUUGUGUGGAUGUGGUCGUUGUGGUGCGAAAUGGUCAGAUAAAAGGUGGUCAGAUGAGAUAUGGAUAACAGUGAAGAU